GUCGAGAACUCUUAGAAUUGUGCU
rnacentral:sRNA from 1 species